rnacentral:rRNA from 1 species
GUUACCCGCAGUGGGACGAAAAGCCCCCGUGCACCUUUACUAUAGCUUAGUAUUGACUUUGGACAAGUGAUGUGUAGGAUAGGUGGGAGACAUUGAAGCAGCGUCGCCAGGCGUUGUGGAGUCAUUGUUGAAAUACCACCCUUUACUUGUUUGAAGCCUAACUUCUAAAAGAAGGACAGUGCUUGGUGGGUAGUUUGACUGGGCUGGUCGCCUCCAAAAGAGUAACG